GACGAACGCUGGCGGCGUGCUUAACACAUGCAAGUCGAACGCUGAAGCUCAGCUUGCUGGGUGGAUGAGUGGCGAACGGGUGAGUAACACGUGAGUAACCUGCCCUCUUCUUUGGGAUAACGCCCGGAAACGGGUGCUAAUACUGGAUAUUCACUGAUUCUCGCAUGGGGGUUGGUGGAAAGGUUUUUUCUGGUGGGGGAUGGGCUCGCGGCCUAUCAGCUUGUUGGUGGGGUGAUGGCCUACCAAGGCUUUGACGGGUAGCCGGCCUGAGAGGGUGACCGGUCACAUUGGGACUGAGAUACGGCCCAGACGCCUACGGGAGGCAGCAGUGGGGAAUAUUGCACAAUGGGCGAAAGCCUGAUGCAGCGACGCCGCGUGAGGGAUGGAGGCCUUCGGGUUGGAAACCUCUUUCGCUCAUGGUCAAGCCGCAGCUUUGGGUUGUGGUGAGGGUAGUGGGUAAAGAAGCGCCGGCUAACUACGUG
rnacentral:rRNA from 1 species